rnacentral:sRNA from 1 species
UCACAACCUUGGCCACUGCAGUCUAACUGAUUUACAGUGAAGGUACAGCACAGGCAGCAGCAGUGCAAGUUCCUCAAAGUGCUCUAUUAAUGCGUCUGAAUCCUGACCAGGAUGGUCCACAUUGGGUAACAGGACACUAAUAGGCCAGAGUGUGGCUGAGCUUUA